rnacentral:rRNA from 1 species
UACGUAGGGUGCAAGCGUUGUCCGGAAUUAUUGGGCGUAAAGAGCUCGUAGGCGGUCUGUCGCGUCUGCUGUGAAAACUCGGGGCUUAACCCCGGGCCUGCAGUGGGUACGGGCAGACUAGAGUGCGGUAGGGGAGACUGGAAUUCCUGGUGUAGCGGUGAAAUGCGCAGAUAUCAGGAGGAACACCGGUGGCGGAAGGCGGGGUCUCUGGGGCCGUAACUGACGCUGAGGAGCGAAAGCGUGGGGAGCGAACAGG